rnacentral:rRNA from 1 species
GACGAACGCUGGCGGCGUGCUUAAUACAUGCAAGUCAACUGAACUUAAGGUAGCAAUAUUUUAAGGGAGGUGGCGCACGGGUGAGUAACACGUAGGUAAUCUGCCUUUAGGUCUGACAUAAUUCCGCGAAAGCGGGACUAAUAUCAGAUGAUGCAGCGGCUCGACAUCGAGACAGUUGUUAAACCUUCGGGGCCUAAAGAUGAGCCUGCGUCUGAUUAGGUAGUUGGCGGAGUAAAAGCCCACCAAGCCUGCGAUCAGUAGCUGGUCUGAGAGGAUGAUCAGCCACACUGGAACUGAGACACGGUCCAGACUCCUACGGGAGGCAGCAGUAAGGAAUAUUGCUCAAUGGCCGAAAGGCUGAAGCAGCAACGCCGCGUGGAGGAUGAAAUACUUUUGU